AUGUUUCUGAAUACUAUGCUGAAGACCUACAAAUGAGGGGCACCUGCCCUAUACAGCUUCCUGAAUUAGAGAAGGAAUGUUGCCAUCGUAUGACACUAAUG